GGAACCGCUUCGUAAGCCGUGUAUGUACCAUGUAAAAUUCAAAGUGGAAUUGCAUAUGAAGAAGUCCCUGGUGCCCAUCCACCUGAGCUGCGAACAGGUGGGCCUGGAGAUGCUGUGCCUGUGCGGUCAGCUAGACCUCCUCAUCCGAGCUCAGGUUCACCAGUUUCAAGAACAACUUAAACAGGAUUCCAGCCCCAUUGAAUCACAUGUUCUCCAAAGACAAGGAUCUGAUAUUAUAGAACAAAUGCAUCAGUGCCUUGAACACCUGCCCAAACCUGUGCCAGAACUUGAAGAUUACCUGGAUAUUGUGGGACUGUCCACUAUGUUUCCUCGAGUGGAGAUUUUUGUCAUACAUGGCAGCCCUGUAGAUAUGCUGGAGAAGCCAGCUAUGGAUGGGUACUUUCCAUAUAUUGGGAGACUUAACCAACUCCUUGUCCUCUGCCAACAACUCGAGGAUGAUGUCAGACAUCUAGGAAGUCACAAAUACAUUGCACAUCAGUUAUCAGUCAUUUAUCAAGUUCUUAGUUUGUUAAAGGGCAUCUUGCCCCUCGCUGGUAUAAGGAGAGGCAUCGAGGCUAACUUCAAAGAAAUUAAAAUGGCUCUGGUGCCCGUGGAAGGAUCCAAACUGGAGCCUCA
ensembl:lncRNA